GACGAACGCUGGCGGCGUGCUUAACACAUGCAAGUCGAACGGAAAGGCCUGCUUUCCCUUGUGGAUUGCGGGUACUCGAGUGGCGAACGGGUGAGUAACACGUGAGUGAUCUGCCCCCAACUUGGGUAUAAGCCUGGGAAACUGGGUCUAAUUCCCGAUAGGACUGCAGUGUGGUGCCUGUGGUGGAAAACGAUUUUCUAGUGGUUGGGGAUGAGCUCGCGGCCUAUCAGCUUGUUGGUGGGGUAAUGGCCUACCAAGGCGGCGACGGGUAGCCGGCCUGAGAGGGUGGACGGCCACAUUGGGACUGAGAUACGGCCCAGACUCCUACGGGAGGCAGCAGUGGGGAAUAUUGCACAAUGGGCGGAAGCCUGAUGCAGCGACGCCGCGUGGGGGAUGACGGCCUUCGGGUUGUAAACUCCUUUCGACCGCGAGGAAGCCACCUGGUUGGAAGGGUGGUGACGGUAGUGGUAGAAGAAGCACCGGCUAACUACGUG
rnacentral:rRNA from 1 species